UCUACUGAUAAUGAUAAUGAUUGGUUGUAUCUGAGAUCAGGCUUAUCUAGUAGGUGAUCUCUAAAUCUACCGAUAAUGAAUAUGAUUUACUGAAAAUGAGGUCAAGCCUGUCUAACAGGUGAUCUCUGAAUCUAUGGAACUAUUUAAUUUCUUUACUAAGCUGAUUGACCAUAUCUGACAGUCCUGAUUUCUGUAUAGCUGAACUGAGUUCUAUUACUUAGACUGAAUCUGAAACUAAGACUGUAGG
rnacentral:lncRNA from 1 species